ACUCUACAUCUAGGAUCCAUAGUGGUUUCAGGUCGAAGGGUGGUAUACACCACUAUCACCAUGAGAAUAACUUAUGACACUUUGCAUUCUAUAUGGUAUUCUCAUAGCGGGUCAAUCCAGUAUAAAUAUUACUCCUAAUAUUCAUACUUAUGUUUAAGACUUGAUAACUCAUUAUCCAUGAUCCAUGAGAUAUGAUCAUCAGUCUAUAUACAUAAUAGUCUUAAUGCUUUAAUGUUAUCCCACUUCACAACAAAGCUCGACUACGGAUACUUUAAGAAUAGUGUCCUUGUGUUUAAUGGGAUCUCGUGAUUAAGUCACACUUGAUACAUUAAACGGACUAUCUAUUCUAGGGACUUUAUUAAACAAACAUAAUAAAGAAAAAUCAUUUUAUUAUUAAUAAAUAAUUUGAUACAAGUACCAAAAGUAUUGGCCUCUAGGGCUUACACCAACAAUCUCUCACUAGCACUAGAGCCAAUCAGGCAUACCCUUAAUGCCCAUAGAUCUAGUAUGGCCAUCAUGCUUCUGUUGUGCAAGAGUCUCUGUCAGUGGGUCAGCAAUAUUGUCAAGUGUAGGUACUCUGCAUAUUUUCACAUCUCCUCUAUCUAUUAUCUCUCGAAUGAGGUGAUAACGCCUAAGUAUGUGUUUGGAUCGUUUGUGAGAUCUAGGCAAAUAUUGUCAAGUGUAGGUACUCUGCAUAUUUUCACAUCUCCUCUAUCUAUUAUCUCUCGAAUGAGGUGAUAACGCCUAAGUAUGUGUUUGGAUCGUUUGUGAGAUCUAGGCUCCUUAGCUUGUGCGGUAGCACCAUUGUUAUCACAAUAGAGACCAAUGAGAUCCACAAUGCUAGGAACUAUGCCAAGUUCACUAAUGAACUUUUUGAUCCAAACAGCUUUCUUUGCUGCACUUGAGGCAGCAAUAUACUCGGCCUCGGUUGUAAAAUCAGCAACUAUAUCUUGCUUUGAACUUUUCCAGCUCGAAACGCCACCAUUUAAGCAAAACACAUAACCAGAUUACGAUCUAAAGUCAUCCUUAUCUGUCUGGAAGCUAGCAUCGGUGUAUCCAAUUACAACAAGCUCUUCAUGACCUCCAUAUAUCAAGAAUGAGUCCUUAUUCCUUCUCAAAUACUUAAGGAUAUUUUUGACAGCUACCCAAUGAGCAUCAUCGGGAUCAGAUUGUUACCUACUCGUUGCACUUAAAGCAUACGAGACAUUUGAUCGAGUACAUAACAUGGCAUACAUGAUAGAUCCUAUUGCAGAUGCAUAUGGAAUCUUAUUCAUGCGAUCCCUUUCUUCCUUAGUUGAAGGGGGUUGUGUUUUUGAUAGACAUAGGCCAUGUUGCAUAGGUAUGAAUCCUUUCUUGGAAUCAUGCAUAUUAAAGUGUCUCAGCACUUUGUUUAUGUAUGUACUCUGACUUAGGCCAAGCAUUUUUUGUGAUCUAUCUCUAUAGAUCCUGAUUCCUAAUAUAUAGGUUGCUUCACCCAGGUCCUUCAUAGAAAAACAUUUCCCUAACCAAGACUUUACUUGUUGUAGGGUAGGGACAUCGUUUCCAAUGAGUAAUAUGUCAUCUACAUAUAAUACCAGGAAGACGAUCAUGCUCCCACUAACCUUCUUGUAGACACAAGGCUAGUAGGGACAUCGUUUCCAAUGAGUAAUAUGUCAUCUACAUAUAAUACCAGGAAGACGAUCAUGCUCCCACUAACCUUCUUGUAGACACAAGGCUCAUCUUCAUUCUUGAUGAAUCCAUAUUGUUUUAUUGUUUCAUCAAAACGAAGAUUCCAGCUUCUGGAAGCUUGCUUCAAUCCAUAUUUUGAUCUUUGUAACUUACAUAUCUUUUGUGCUUCUUCUGGUAUGUCAAAUCCUUUAGGUUGUGUCAUGUACAUAUCCUCAAGACGAUUCCCAUUAAGGAAAGCAGUUUUGACAUCCAUCUGCCAUAUUUCAUAAUCAUGAUAUGCAACGAUAGCAAGUAAAAUCCAAACAGAUUUAAGCAUUGCAACUGGUGAAAAGGUUUCAUCACAGUCAACCCCGUGAAUUUGUUUAUAUCCUUUUGCAACCAGUCUUACCUUAUAGGUAUGUACCUUACCAUCCAUGUCAGUCUUCCUUUUGAAGACCCACUUGCAUCCUAUAGGGUUAACUCCUACAUGAGGCUCUACCAAGGUCCAAACCUGGUUUAUGUACAUGGUAUCCAUUUCAGAUUUCAUGGCUGCUAUCCACUUCUCAGACUCGGGACCAGUUAUGGCCUCUAGGUAGGUCACAUGCUCAUCUUGAUCCAUGAGUAAUACAUCACCUUGAUCAGUUAUGAGAUAUCCAUAUCUUUCAGGUAGGUGACGUAUCCUGCUUGACCUACGUUGGUCUUGUUCUACUUGAGUAGGUUGCUCUUCCACAACUACUUGUGUUUCCUGCUCUAAUUCCUCCAUAGGUGUAUCAAUGCUUUGUGAUUCUUGAAUUUCUUCAAGCUCUACUUUCCUCCCACUGAUUCCUUUGGAAAUAAAAUCCUUUUCUAGGAAAACUCUAGUUCGAGCGACAAACACUUUGCCCUCAGAAUGAUUGUAUAAGUAAUACCCUCUUGUUUCUUUAGGAUAUCCCACAAAUAAGCAUUUAUCAUAUUUGGGCUCAAGCUUAAUUUAAAUUCGUCAUUUCACAUAAACUUCGCAACCCCAAACCUUCAUGUAAGACAUAUGUGGUUUCUUACCACUCCAUAUCUCAUAUGGUGUCUUCUCAACCUUUUUGGAUGGAACACGGUUAAGUGUGUAAGCUGUUGUCAACAGUGAAUGUCCCCAAAAGGAGUUUAGAAGAUCGGCGUGACUCAUCAUGGAUCGGACCAUGUCUAACAAGGUUCGAUUUCUUCUCGCAGAUACACUGUUCCAUUGGGUUUUUCCAGGAGGAGUAAGUUGGGAUAGGAUCCCACACUCUUUCAGAUGGUCAUCAAACUCUAGGCUUAAAUACUCACCAUCUCGAUCUGAUCGAAGAGUUUUAAUAUUCUUACCUAGUUGGUUUUGUACAGGGAUAGGAUCCCACACUCUUUCAGAUGGUCAUCAAACUCUAGGCUUAAAUACUCACCAUCUCGAUCUGAUCGAAGAGUUUUAAUAUUCUUACCUAGUUGGUUUUGUACUUCAUUCUUGAAUUCCUUUAACUUUUCAAAGGACUCUGAUUUGUGUUUCAUUAAAUACACAUAACCAUAUCUAUUGAAAUCAUCAGUAAAUAUGGUGAAGUACUGAAAACCUCCUCUGGAUGGUAUGUUCAAUGGUCCACAUACAUCAGUAUGUAUGAGGGCCAAAAGAUCAUUAGCUCUUUCACCUUUUCCUGUGAAUGAAGACUUUGUCAUAUUUCCAAUUAAACAAGAUAUGCAUGUCUCAUAUGAUUCAUAAUCAAAAGAGUCCAAGAGUCCAUCUUUAAAGAGUUGGAAAUGUGUUUCUCAUUUAUGUGGCCUAAUCGACAAUGCCAAAGGUAAGUUGGAUUUAACUCAUUAGGUUUCAUCUUUUUAGUAUUAAUGUUAUAAAUAGGCAUUUCAAGAUCAAGGAUAUGUAGUCCAUUGUUCAUUUAUGUAGUAGCAUAGAAUAUAUCAUUCAAAUAAAUGGAGCAACAAUUAUUCUUUAUUAUAAAUGAAAAACCAAACUUGUCUAAACAAGAAACGGAAAUAAUAUUCCUGCUAAUUGCAGGUACAUAAUAAUAGUUCUCUAACUGGAUUAUUAAACCACUAGUAAAGUCAAUACAUAAGUUCCUACGGCUAAAGCAGCAACCUUGCUCCAUUGCCAACUCGUAGGUCAACUUCACCUUUUGCCAAAUCUCUACUCCUUUUUAGCCCCUGCACAUUGGUACAAAUGUGAGAACCGCAUCCAGUAUCUAAUACCCAUGAUGCAGAAGUAGAUAAAUUAAUUUCAAUAAUAAAAAUACCUGAAGUUGAAGUCUCAACUCCAUUCUUCUUAUCUUCCAGGUACUUUGGGCAGUUUCUAUUCUAGUGUCCGGUCUUACCGCAAAGAAAGCGGGUGCCUUCCUUUGCUAUGCCUCCACUAAGCUUCAAAGCAGGAGCAGUGGGUUUGGGUUUGGCAACUUUCUUGCCUUUCCCUUUAUCACCCUGCUUGGUGGGUCUUUUGUUCUGUCUUUUUCCAUUUCUGAUCAUCAGAACGAACUUCCCUUUUGACUUCAGAUUCUGCUCAGCAGUUCUUAACAUGGCUAGCAGUUCAAGAAGAGAUUUGUCCAUAUCAUUCAUAUUGAAAUUAAGGACAAAUUGACUGAAUCUAUCUGGUAACAAUUGCAAGAUCAAAUCAGUCGCAAGUUCCUUUCCGAGGGGAAAAUCCAACCUCUCAAGGUUCUCCACAUACCUAAUCAUCUUGAGCACAUGGGGACCUACAGGGGCUCCCUCAAUUAACUUGCCUUGAAAAGGGGCUUUUGAAACUUCAAACCUUUCAUGCCUUGCCUGCUCUUGAUAGAGCAUCUUCAGGUGUUCGAUCAUAUUAAACGCUGCCAUGUUCUCAUGUUGCUUUUGCAACUCUGAGUUCAUGGUAGCUAGCAUGAGGCAACUAGUUUUAUUGGCAUCAUCGGCAUGCUUCUUAUAAAGCAUCUCUUUAUGCCUUAGGUGUAGAACUAGGAGGUUCCUCUUCAGGAACAGGUUUCUGCAAGACAUACAGCUUUCUAUCAUGUUUGAGGAUAAUCCUCAGAUUUCGGUGUCAAUCCAGAAAAUUUGUCCCAGACAAUUUUUCCUUAUCAAGGAUUGAUCGUAAAAUAUUGUUAGAGGUGUUUGUUGUCAUGGUAACUACAUGAAAAUAAUGAAAAUAUAAGUAUCAAUAACAUAUUUAAUUAGGCAUUUAAUUAAAUAUGCUCCCACUAUUUUACUCAAAACAAAUGACCCUCACCAUUUGAUUCGGAAAAUCCCGUUGGAAAGAAAAUAUAAGUAUCAAUAACAUAUUUAAUUAGGCAUUUAAUUAAAUAUGCUCCCACUAUUUUACUCAAAACAAAUGACCCUCACCAUUUGAUUCGGAAAAUCCCGUUGGAAGAUUUUCUAGUGGGUUAAGAUCCACAUUUCACUUUGUUUUAAGUUUGCGUAGGCGGAUUACACAAAACUAGGUUGUUUAGGUAGGAACUCCUUUCAAUUGUAUCUAGUAUAACUCUCGAAUAUUUUAGUUGGGUGAAAAUAACUCCUUAUUCCAAUCCAUCACAUGGAUCAUUUUCAACUCUUGCUUCUAAACAUAUAUAAUCUUAUUAUAAUUUGUUUAUUUAAGUUUGACCCAUUGUUUUAGCAAUUGGAUAUUACAAUCAUCCCAUCGCACCUUACUAAUAUAGAAUAUGCACCUCGCAUAGGCGAAACCUACAUUAUUCGAUACUAGUCUUGAUGAGUGCUAAAACUUGGAAAGCAUAAACUUAAUAUUUAAUUUGAGGGAAUUUGCAAUUAUACAUUAUUCGAUACUAGUCUUGAUGAGUGCUAAAACUUGGAAAGCAUAAACUUAAUAUUUAAUUUGAGGGAAUUUGCAAUUAUUCUGAUCUCACCGGCUUAUUUAUCAUAUAAAUUGUCUCUCACGUGUAUCAACAUACAUUCACAUGCAUCAAUAUACAUACAAAAUAAAACAGUUAUGACCCAUAGCACAAUUUUUUUCCCAAGCCAAUGAGAGAAUAUAAGCUAACCUAAUAACGAUCUAAGCUUCUCCAAGAAAGAUCUUCAAGGUUGUCCUCCUUUGAUAUUGUAUUCUUCUCUUUCUUCAUAACAUCACAUUACAUAAAAGAAACUCGUUUUACAUACGAGGGAGUGAGAUGAGAAAAGAAGUUACAUUAAGAGAUUAAAAGAGAGGCACGACACGCAGGUUGUAUUUUAAAAUCCCAAAACAAAAUAAAGGAAAACUAAGGCCAUAACUGAUCACCACAAGACAAUAAUAAUAAACACAUUAUUAUUAUUAAUUUAAAUUCUGUUAAUUAAAUAAACCAAAUUAAAUUUCGGCGACCGAUUACACUAUGCAGAGUUAGCAGGGUUGCAGGGGAAACACCCCAACGCAAAUCGAUGUCGAUUUUCGUAUCAACACUUGAUACUUUAAAGCACAACUCUUGCGCAAUCACAACCCUGAUCGCAUAACUCUUUGAUAACACAACCCUUGUACCGUCAUGAACCCUAAUGCACCAAUUUCAUACUGUCAAACACACCUCAAUGGUUAAUUCAGUAUGAUUGAUCAACACGUCAUUGCUUCACCAUACUUUCGUCGGAUUCCGAAGUAAAUGACCAUUGAUCGCUCAAAGGAAAACAACCAUUAAGUGUUUGAAUGAACGAAAGAGAAACAAUAUAUCACAUAUACCGUAUUUUGCAUCAGAAUUACUUAUAUUAUAUAUAUAACUUGAUCGAUCUUAAUUAUGUAACCUAUGGACGAUCGAUGUAUCGCUGCUUCACCAUACUAACGUCAGAUUCCGAAGCAUAGUCAACAUCAAUCAUCCAAAUCGUACACACAUUAUGCCAAAUCUAAUUACUCGUUUAUUCUUUGAUUCAUUUUGUCUUUUAAUCGUAUUCAUACAGAAAAUACAGAAAAUAAACAGUCAUCAGAUGCAUGGUUUCAUAAGUGGCUUUGAUACCACUGGAAGAGAAUAGCAAUCCAAAAUGCAACGAAAAUUAAAAUUUUCUCCUUUAGUGAUCCUUACGAAUGGGAAUGAUCUGUGAUAGAAUCGUUACCUCUUGUGGCGAUUGAAACCUUUGAUACAGAUCUAAGGAGUGAUCACGAACGUUGAAUGGUGACAACGCCUCUACUCAGUCCAUACGAACGAAUUCCUUCAAUCUCAGUGUUAGCUACUACGAAUGAAGGCUUUGAGUGAGAGAGACAGAGAGAAACGAAAUUUCAACUGCACUAAUGCUUCUACACAAGGGUUCUAUUCAUAGAACCACUUGAGUGGGCUGCAAGCUAAAAAGCCCACUUAAAUGUAUGUGACCCAUAUCUUAUGAUAUGCCAAAAUCACUUAAGCGCGUAGUACCUUACCAUAUUUUGUAUUCUACUUAAGUACACCGUACCUUACGAUGUUCUACAAUUCACUUAAGUGCAUUGUACCUUACAGUGUUCCUUAUUUACUCGAUCUCUCAUCAAUCCGUCAUUUUGUGUGUGACCCUGUACGUUUUUGCGACAUUAACAAUUAUACUAAAUCACGUAUUUAACAUAAUAAAUAGUGAGCGGUAUCUAGCAACACAUCAUUGCUACCCAAGACACGAAAAUGUAAUGUGAUCUGAAAAAAUCCUCUUGUGAUAAUAGUUAUGUGUAUAAUUACCCUUUUUCCCUUAUGUCUAUAUUGAACACAAGGCAUAGACCGUGUCAUCCUUGUCAAGUUCAAUAUUGGACCCUUAGACAUUUAUCCUGUUACGCAGUCCCUCAACAUGCUUCGUGGAGUACCCAUCAACUGUCUUUAUGGUCAUCGAGUUAUGGACAAUGUUUGAUCAGCAAUAAAGCACUCGACUCUACAUCUAGGGUUCAUAGUGGUUUCAGGCCGAAGGGUGGUAUACACCACUAUCACCAUGAGAAUAACUUAUGACACUUUGCAUAACAUUCUAUAUGGUAUUCUCAUAGCGGGUCAAUCCAGUAUAAAUAUUACUCCUAAUAUUCAUACCUAUGUUUAAGACUUGAUAACUCCUUAUUCAUGAUCCAUGAGAUGUGAUCAUCAGUCUAUAUACA
rnacentral:lncRNA from 1 species